CAUGUAGGCGGAUUAAUAAGUUUGAAGUGAAAUCCUAUAGCUUAACUAUAGAACUGCUUUGAAAACUGUUAAUCUAGAAUGUGGGAGAGGUAGAUGGAAUUUCUGGUGUAAGGGUAAAAUCCGUAGAGAUCAGAAGGAAUACCGAUUGCGAAGGCGAUCUACUGGAACAUUAUUGACGCUGAGAUGCGAAAGCGUGGGGAGCAAACA
rnacentral:rRNA from 1 species